rnacentral:rRNA from 1 species
CCUACGGGGAGCAGCAGUCGAGAAUCAUUCACAAUGGGGGAAACCCUGCUGGUGCGACGCCGCGUGGGGGAAUGAAGGUCUUCGGAUUGUAAACCCCUGUCAUGUGGGAGCAAAUUAAAAAGAUAGUACCACAAGAGGAAUAGACGGCUAACUAUGUGCCAGCAGCCGCGGUAAUACAGAGGUCUCAAGCGGUGUUCGGAAUCACUGGGCUUAAAGCGUUCGUAGGCUGUUUCGUAAGUCGUGUGUGAAAGGCGCGGGCUCAACCCGCGGACGGCACAUGAUACUGCGAGACUAGAGUACGGGAGGGGGAAGCGGAAUUCGUGGUGUAGCAGUGAAAUGCGUAGAUAUCGAGAGGAACACUCGUGGCGAAGGCGGGUUCCUGGACAUUAACUGACGCUGAGGCACGAAGGCCAGGGGAGCGAAAGGGAUUAGAUACCCCGGUAGUC